UCCCUGGUGGCUCAGAGGUUAAAGCGUCUGCCUACAAUGCGGGAGACCCGGGUUCGAUCCCUGGGUCGGGAA
rnacentral:tRNA from 1 species